CUCGCACACACGCAGAGGCACGGGAGGGAAAGAAGCCGAUGAAUAAUUUUGCUAUUUUUUAAAAUACUGGCCGCCAUCAUCAAGCAGCGAGCAGCAGCAGAAGCGUUGAAGGGAGAGGAGGCAUCGGGACAGGCCCCUCUUAGGAGAGGAUUUAUAUCUAGUUGGAAAAAAAAAGAAAGAAAAGAAAAAGAAGAAAAAGAAGAAAAAAAUUGUCAAGCCCCCGAACUGAAGGUUACGAGCGGCCCGUCAGCAGCCCACAUGUAACCGAACUGUCGUGUUUCAUGGCUUUUUGCCACUCCAGCUGUCAAUCAAAGCCCGGAAUGUCAAGGUAGUGAAUGAAUGAUGGUUGAUGAUGAUGAAGAGGAGGAAUCUUUCAGACCCGUUUUUUUCUUCCAGUAAAACUCCGCGAGGGGUUUCUGCUUCUUGAAUUUUUUCCUCCCCCCUCCCCCCUUUUUUAGCUUUGCCCCCGCGGUAUCUAUAAUACGAUCCUCUCUCUUUAAAGUAUUGUUCAAAGAAAGCAGUGAGAAAAAUCAAGAAAAAAAAAUGAAUAGUUUGCAAAAAUUGGACUUCCUCCCCCCCUUUCCUGGACCAGAAGAGACCAGCUUAACUCAGAGCACACUCCCUCCAAGCGGUGCGGACAAGGGGCCAC
rnacentral:lncRNA from 1 species